AGCAGCUGCUCUGUUUUUAGUUUAUUCUUACCAGUGCAGUGAGAGAACAUGUUGAUCUAUAUUAUUAUACUGCUGUCAACAACUGAAGGUUCCAGAGCCUCAGAAGUCAUCACUCCAAAAAGUGACAGAGAAUUUGCUCUUGAGGGUGACAGUGUGACACUCUCCUGUAACUACAGCGGUUCUGCUCGUGGUGUUCACUGGUAUCGCCAAUAUGCAGGAUCACCAUCACAGUUCCUCAUACUGGAAGAUUCAGGGGCAACUAUUCAAGCUAAUCCACCCGUUCCAGGAAUAACCAUCAAUCACAGAAAAAAAGAACUCCAUGUGGAUCUGAGCAUCUCGUCUGUUAAAGUGUCAGACUCUGCUCUGUACUUCUGUGCUCUGAGGCCCACAGUGACAGGAAACACAACAACACUGUACAAAAACCUGUAUUUCAGGAAAGUGUAAACCAUACAGGAUGUUUCUACAAACAUUUUAUUAU